GAUCAACGCUGGCGGCGUGCCUCAGACAUGCAAGUCGAACGCGAAAGUUCCCUUCGGGGGAUAAGUAGAGUGGCGUCCGGGUGAGUAACACGUAGGUAAUCUACCUUUGGGUGGGGAAGUAACAACCGGAAACGGUUGCUAAUACCGCAUAAUGCAGCGGCACCACAUGGUGACAGUUGUUAAAGACGGGGAGUCGCAAGACCUCGCGCCUAAAGAGGAGCCUGCGGCGGAUUAGCUAGNGGUAGGGUAACGGCCUACCAAGGCAACGAUCCGUAGCCGGCCUGAGAGGGCGGUCGGCCACACUGACACUGAAAUACGGGUCAGACUCCUACGGGAGGCAGCAGUCGGGAAUUUUGGGCAAUGGGCGAAAGCCUGACCCAGCAACGCCGCGUGAAGGAU
rnacentral:rRNA from 1 species